CUCCGAAACAUGCAGCUGCUGGAAGAAGGAAUCUCUGGGGAGACCUGGUGAGCCUUGGGGGGAGGUCAGGGAGGUCUUCCUUGAGGAGGUAGCAUGCGGUGAGGUCCGGAGGAGGACUGAAAGGAACAGGCUAAGCUUGCACAUGGGGUAACAAGGGAGUUCUGGGAGUCGACAGCCCCAGAAGUGACCUUUGGACAGCGAGGACCCAGGUAUAUUGGGUGAAGUCCUGGCUUCAUCACUCCUGAGUGAGGCAGUUCUGGGGUGUGUUCUACAAUCUCUCAAAGACCCCUAGAAGGAUCACCCCUCGACUGAUCAGAGCAGGAACCUGCUCAUUCACAUGUUUCUUUCUCCAAUGCUCACCAGGUCUCGGGAGAACCCAAACUAAGACACAGGAUUCCAGAGUUUCUUCCAUCUGGGAAAGAAUCCCCCCUUCUUCAUACUACAUGCCCCUCUAGCCACACCCCCUUGCUUUUCUCCAUGGAACCCCAACACUCCUCAAAACAUUGCCUGACCUUGCUCCCUCUCCCCCACCCUCUCAAAUCAAUGAAAAAUAUCCUCAGAUGAGGAUUAAAACAGCAGCAGCAACAACACCAGCAUUGUCUGUCUCCUUGCCUGUCAAGAGCAACCAAGACCUUCUAUUGUUAACCCAAGGCUACUGUACAGACAGCAUGCACCGAUAUAAUUGUUCCAUUGCUAAAAUCCGGGGAUAUUUGGCACCAUCUAGAAAAUACCCUUAUAUUCCUCCCAAAGGGCAGUAGAAUUAAUGUAAAUGCAACAUUUCCAGCUAAUUGUUAUUGAACGUUGCAAUGAAUUUUGAUACACUGGUGACAUCUGAGAAACAUUUGCAAAACUUGGCCAAUUUGACCUUUGUCACUGUGAGCAGGGUGUACGUGUAUGAAUCGCUCUGGCUUAUAGGAGACAUACCAGCUUAUCAUUGCCCUCAAAUUUCCAGCCUGGUUCUAGUUUCAAAUAGCUAAGAUUUACUUUGGUUUUUAUUCUUGGUGCAUUGUAAUUUUUUGUGUAAGUAGCAAAUGUGCAAUGGUCUCAUAAUUAUAAACUAGAAAGCACAGGAUAAAACAUUGAAAGAAAGCAUCCAGAAAGUCUUACUCAUGCUUUGUAAUAUUCCUAUUACAGUAUCAGGAAUAACAUUCUGAUGUACCUGUGGGAGGAGAGAGAAGAAAUGAUGUUUACAGUGAGUUGCAGCCCUGGAAUCUCCAAAACCUGCAGAAGCCAGAGCAGCCUGGAGCGGUUUUGCUACUGUGCAAGACUCUCUGUAAAAUAUAACAAUUAAUUUAUAUUUGGAGCAUAAAAAAAGAAACCCCCCCCAAAAUAUGGGUAGUUUAUGGUAACAGGAUAUAAACAUUGGAUGCAAAUGCUGUUCGUUAAAAUUGGAAAGGCUGAUGCUUAAAUAUUUCACCUGAACAGCAACCAUGCUUUAUUUUAGCUCCAAUAAAGAAAAGUUGUAAUAGUUAAGGAGAAAGGAUAAGGAUGUUGUUAUUCAGUACCACACUAAAAAGUUUUUGGAUAACAAAAAAAAUUUCCAGAAAAAAUUGUUUUAUGUCAAAGAAUAUUUGUAAAGCAGAUAAAAAGCGUUUAGAAAGUAAUGCAAGACUUUUAAAACACUACAACGUAUGGCUAAAAGCAAUUGAGACUUUUCAGAUAGGAAAUCAUAGAACUGGAAAAAACGUAAUAUUGAUAUGGGCAGGACAUUACUAUGCAGACUCACAGAUCUGCCUGAUGCAAAACUGACGACACCGUUCUGCGGAAAACUGCCCAAGUCAGCAAAAUUUCAAACGUGAUCAACGAAGCUUCAACACUGUCGCUGAAAUUGUUUCUGUGAUUUAUUUUAAAGGUGAAAUUCAAGGCUUUGACGGUAGUUUAAGGUUUGCUGUUAAUCAUACAAGGCUGUGCCGAAACCGGUUUGGCUCAGUGGAUAGAGCGUCGGUCUGGGGACUAAAAGGUCCAGGGUUCAAUUCCGGUCAAGGGCAUGUAC